AGUGAACGCUGGCGGUAGGCCUAAUACAUGCAAGUCGAACGGCAGCACAGUAAGAGCUUGCUCUUACGGGUGGCGAGUGGCGGACGGGUGAGGAAUACAUCGGAAUCUACUUUUUCGUGGGGGAUAACGUAGGGAAACUUACGCUAAUACCGCAUACGACCUACGGGUGAAAGCAGGGGAUCUUCGGACCUUGCGCGAUUGAAUGAGACGAUGUCGGAUUAGCUAGUUGGCGGGGUAAAGGCCCACCAAGGCGACGAUCCGUAGCUGGUCUGAGAGGAUGAUCAGCCACACUGGAACUGAGACACGGUCCAGACUCCUACGGGAGGCAGCAGUGGGGAAUAUUGGACAAUGGGCGCAAGCCUGAUCCAGCCAUACCGCGUGGGUGAAGAAGGCCUUCGGGUUGUAAAGCCCUUUUGUUGGGAAAGAAAAGCAGCAGGUUAAUACCCCGCUGUUCUGACGGUACCCAAAGAAUAAGCACCGGCUAACUUCGUG
rnacentral:rRNA from 1 species